AUGCAGUUAGUAUAGAAGUGUCAAAAUUAUGCUAAAGUUUUAACAAUAAGCAGUAUGUCUUAUAAGCGUUAUUUAUAUUUGAAUUUAAUUUAUUUUUUCUAAAUACAGCCGGUUAGUUUGAACGCAAAUAAUUUGAACUGUUUGAAUUUAUAUACGCUUGAUAAUACAAACGAAGUAUUAUUACGACACAAUCACACCGAUGUUCUGUUUUGACGAAUGGAGAUGAAUUGGGAUCACAACACCAGCGUUGUACUUUUCCACUUGCAAAGUUAAAAUGCAGUCACUUAACCAUCUACUUCGCUAUAUACAAGUAUAUUGGGAUGAAAAUGGCUUCGUGGACCGCUGAUAAUAUUUCGAUAUCAAACGCUAUAUGACGUCACUCAGCUGGUUCUAUGAUCAAAUGAUAAAAUGUUACGCGAAACUAAAGAACUGUUGGGAGAAAGAAAAGACUGAGACCAGAGAAACAAAGGAACGUAAAGCCGAAAAGCGAAGUUGGAGCCAUAGCAUACCCAGACUAGGAUUUAUUCUUAGUCGAUGUAAAUACUAACUUAUGUGAGCUGUAGCAUAAAAAGUCCCUUAUACUUAUUGAAUGCUUGUUUAAACUGGAUUGUUUAUAUGUGGUACACGGUGUGUGGUGCGGGGUCGGGAAGUAUACGGAGAUCAAAAUAUUAAGUCCACCUUUAUACACGUUAGUAAUGUCACGUGGUUGGGAAUCUUGGGUUUUAUUUCUCCAUGUUUGUGUGUGUGUGUGUGUAAACAACCUGCAUAAGAACGGUGCGCGCAGGUCAGA